GCCUACGACCAUAUCAUCCUGAAUGCACCCGAUCUCGUUUGAUCUUGGAAGCUAAGAAGGUGAGAGCCUCGUCAGUACUUGGAUUGGAGACUGCCUGGGAAUUCCAGGCUUUUCUAUUUU
rnacentral:rRNA from 1 species